GGUACCAUUACUAUUAUUUUCUAACUUGGUACAAAGAGGUCAACUAUCCAAAGGGCAGAGAGACAAUGGAAACUGUUUAUUUAGGCUGCUUUGAUCAGAAGUUGCAAACAGACAGACAUGGGAUGGGGGCAGAGAGGAUGGACGUGUGCAGACAGGAUUCCUGCACACUUGAGAUGCUCGCCUGUCCCAGGUCUGUGGAAGUCUGGGUGUCACCUAUUGGUCAGCUCGCAGACUGACACUCAGCAUCACCAGCAGCCAUGCAGAAAGGGGCUGCAUGGGCUCCUCUUGCAGAAAGGUUGAGCUGGAAUCCAGCUGUGGCUGAAGAAACCUCUCUUGGUCAUGUUGGAUGAGCAGAGAAAAUAGCCCACGUGUUGCUGUUUGCGUUUGCUUGAAGAAGGUGCACUUCCAAGCCCUGAAGGCAGUAGAAGCUGAAACAGUUGGUGCUGCACAAGAAGCAGGAUACAGCACUCAUCCUUGUCACAGAUGUGUUGGGAAGUGUGUUUGAUCAGCUAAUGACUGUUCAGUCGCUUUAAGGACUCAAACAUCCUAAGUGCAAAUGUAUGACCAUUAGUAUUGUGUGCAAACGAAUUGCAAAUGGAACUCCAACUCCCUUUGGCUCUAGAGCAGCUGGUGCUGAAUCUGAACUCCUUGGAGGCCAAUAUGUUUUUCUGUGAGCUGAGACAAAGUCAUGGCUCCUGCUUGGGACUGGAGGAUGUAGCUUGUGUAAUGGCACCAGCGGCUCAUGUCUAUUUCUGAUCAAAUAAUCACAUAGUGUGAAAGAUGCUGAAGUCAUUGCACCAGCCAACGGAGAUGAUCCCUCAAGUCACAUCUGAUUCUUCAGGAUGACCCUAGAAGCAAUUCUGUGGACGAAUUGCCACAUGGGGCCAGGGUCUUUCAUACUUCCUACAGCAACAGCAAGGUUUCCUUUGCGUUUCUUCCCUGCAGUGAGGUGGGAUGGCUUCCCUCCGUCUCUCUAGUACUGUUGAUUUCUGAGUUACAAUACUGCCUUUCUCUGUCACCUAGAAAUCUGAUGCCUUAUUGGCUUUUCCUUGAUAAUCCAUUCGGCUUCAAAGUUCACAAAACUCCUCUCAUUCCAUGAAUAAAUGUGCAGCUAUGGGACCAAAUUCAUUCCUGGCUAAGGUCUGUUAGAGUUACGUCUGGAAUAAAUCAGGUAGCGCCAUUGGAUAUGUAUAAAUUGGCUUCUGUAGCUAGAA